GAUGAACGCUAGCGGCAGGCUUAAUACAUGCAAGUCGAGGGGGCAGCAAUGUCACCGGCGAACGGGUGCGUAACGCGUAUGCAACCUACCUACAUCAGGGGGAUAGCCCUAGGAAACUGGGAUUAACACCGCAUAAUAUAAGCUACGGCAUCGUAACUUAUUGAAAUAUUUAUAGGAUGUAGAUGGGCAUGCGUAGGAUUCGUUAGUUGGUAAGGUAACGGCGUACCAAGGCUACGAUCCUUAGGGGCUCGGAGAGGAGUAUCCCCCACACUGGAGAUGGGAUACGGGCCAGACUCCUACGGGAGGCAGCAGUAGGGAAUAUUGGGCAAUGGAGGCAGCUCUGACCCAGCCAUGCCGCGUGCAGGGAGACGGUCCUCUGUAUUGUAAACUGCUUUUGAAUGGGAAGAAUGUGCUUCUUGCGAGGGGUAAUGACGGUACCAUUAGAAUAAGCCACGGCUAACUACGUGCCAGCAGCCGCCGUAA
rnacentral:rRNA from 1 species